UACGGGGGGAGCAAGCGUUGUUCGGAUUCAUUGGGCGUAAAGGGUGCGUAGGCGGCGCGGUAAGUCGGGUGUGAAAUCUCGGGGCUUAACUCCGAAACUGCAUUCGAUACUGCCGUGCUUGAGGACUGGAGAGGAGACUGGAAUUUACGGUGUAGCGGUGAAAUGCGCAGAUAUCAGGAAGAACACCCGUGGCGAAGGCGGCUCUCUGGGACGGUACUGACGCUGAGACGCGAAAAGCGUGGGGAGCGAACAGG
rnacentral:rRNA from 1 species